rnacentral:rRNA from 1 species
CGGGACACGUGGUAUCCUGUCUGAAUAUGGGGGGACCAUCCUCCAAGGCUAAAUACUCCUGACUGACCGAUAGUGAACCAGUACCGUGAGGGAAAGGCGAAAAGAACCCCGGCGAGGGGAGUGAAAAAGAACCUGAAACCGUGUACGUACAAGCAGUGGGAGCACGCUUAGGCGUGUGACUGCGUACCUUUUGUAUAAUGGGUCAGCGACUUAUAUUCUGUAGCAAGGUUAACCGAAUAGGGGAGCCGAAGGGAAACCGAGUCUUAACUGGGCGUUAAGUUGCAGGGUAUAGACCCGAAACCCGGUGAUCUAGCCAUGGGCAGGUUGAAGGUUGGGUAACACUAACUGGAGGACCGAACCGACUAAUGUUGAAAAAUUAGCGGAUGACUUGUGGCUGGGGGUGAAAGGCCAAUCAAACCGGGAGAUAGCUGGUUCUCCCCGAAAGCUAUUUAGGUAGCGCCUCGUGAAUUCAUCUCCGGGGGUAGAGCACUGUUUCGGCAAGGGGGUCAUCCCGACUUACCAACCCGAUGCAAACUGCGAAUACCGGAGAAUGUUAUCACGGGAGACACACGGCGGGUGCUAACGUCCGUCGUGAAGAGGGAAACAACCCAGACCGCCAGCUAAGGUCCCAAAGUCAUGGUUAAGUGGGAAACGAUGUGGGAAGGCCCAGACAGCCAGGAUGUUGGCUUAGAAGCAGCCAUCAUUUAAAGAAAGCGUAAUAGCUCACUGGUCGAGUCGGCCUGCGCGGAAGAUGUAACGGGGCUAAACCAUGCACCGAAGCUGCGGCAGCGACGCUUAUGCGUUGUUGGGUAGGGGAGCGUUCUGUAAGCCUGUGAAGGUGUGCUGUGAGGCAUGCUGGAGGUAUCAGAAGUGCGAAUGCUGACAUAAGUAACGAUAAAGCGGGUGAAAAGCCCGCUCGCCGGAAGACCAAGGGUUCCUGUCCAACGUUAAUCGGGGCAGGGUGAGUCGACCCCUAAGGCGAGGCCGAAAGGCGUAGUCGAUGGGAAACAGGUUAAUAUUCCUGUACUUGGUGUUACUGCGAAGGGGGGACGGAGAAGGCUAUGUUGGCCGGGCGACGGUUGUCCCGGUUUAAGCGUGUAGGCUGGUUUUCCAGGCAAAUCCGGAAAAUCAAGGCUGAGGCGUGAUGACGAGGCACUACGGUGCUGAAGCAACAAAUGCCCUGCUUCCAGGAAAAGCCUCUAAGCAUCAGGUAACAUCAAAUCGUACCCCAAACCGACACAGGUGGUCAGGUAGAGAAUACCAAGGCGCUUGAGAGAACUCGGGUGAAGGAACUAGGCAAAAUGGUGCCGUAACUUCGGGAGAAGGCACGC